rnacentral:rRNA from 1 species
GACAGAGGGUGCAAACGUUGCUCGGAAUCACUGGGCGUAAAGGGCGUGUAGGCGGGAAGGAAAGUCAGAUGUGAAAUCCCCAGGCUCAACCUGGGAACUGCAUUUGAAACUCCCUUUCUUGAGUACCGGAGAGGAAAGUGGAAUUCCUGGUGUAGAGGUGAAAUUCGUAGAUAUCAGGAGGAACACCAGUGGCGAAGGCGGCUUUCUGGACGGUAACUGACGCUGAGAACGCGAAAGCGUGGGGAGCAA